AUUGAACGCUGGCGGCAGGCUUAACACAUGCAAGUCGAGCGGGGUGAUGGUGCUUGCACUAUCACUUAGCGGCGGACGGGUGAGUAAUGCUUAGGAAUCUGCCUAUUAGUGGGGGACAACAUCUCGAAAGGGAUGCUAAUACCGCAUACGUCCUACGGGAGAAAGCAGGGGAUCACUUGUGACCUUGCGCUAAUAGAUGAGCCUAAGUCGGAUUAGCUAGUUGGUGGGGUAAAGGCCUACCAAGGCGACGAUCUGUAGCGGGUCUGAGAGGAUGAUCCGCCACACUGGGACUGAGACACGGCCCAGACUCCUACGGGAGGCAGCAGUGGGGAAUAUUGGACAAUGGGGGGAACCCUGAUCCAGCCAAGCCGCGUGUGUGAAGAAGGCCUUAUGGUUGUAAAGCACUUUAAGCGAGGAGGAGGCUAUUUUGGUUAAUACCCAGAAUGAGUGGACGUUACUCGCAGAAUAAGCACCGGCUAACUCUGUGCCAGCCGCCGCAGUAA
rnacentral:rRNA from 1 species